rnacentral:rRNA from 1 species
GACGAACGCUGGCGGCGUGCCUAAUACAUGCAAGUUGAGCGCUGAAGGUUGGUACUUGUACCAACUGGAUGAGCAGCGAACGGGUGAGUAACGCGUGGGGAAUCUGCCUUUGAGCGGGGGACAACAUUUGGAAACGAAUGCUAAUACCGCAUAAAAACUUUAAACACAAGUUUUAAGUUUGAAAGAUGCAAUUGCAUCACUCAAAGAUGAUCCCGCGUUGUAUUAGCUAGUUGGUGAGGUAAAGGCUCACCAAGGCGAUGAUACAUAGCCGACCUGAGAGGGUGAUCAGCCACAUUGAGACUGAGACACGGCCCAAACUCCUACGGGAGGCAGCAGUAGGGAAUCGUCAGCAAUGGACGAAAGUCUGACCGAGCAACGCCGCGUGAGUGAAGAAGGUUUUCGGAUCGUAAAACUCUGUUGGUAGAGAAGAACGUUGGUGAGAGUGGAAAGCUCAUCAAGUGACGGUAACUACCCAGAAAGGGACGGCUAACUACGUG